rnacentral:rRNA from 1 species
AUACGGAGGACGCGAGCGUUAUCCGGAUUCAUUGGGUUUAAAGGGUGCGCAGGCGGCCGUGCAAGUCAGCGGUGAAAGCCCGGGGUCCAACCCCGGAAGUGCCGUUGAUACUGCAUGGCUUGAAUGCGGUCGAGGCGGGCGGAACGUGGCGUGUAGCGGGGAAAUGCGUAGAUAUGCCACAGAACGCCGAUAGCGGAGGCAGCUCGCCAGGCCUGCAUUGACGCUCGGGCACGAAAGCGUGGGGAUCGAACAGGAUUAGAUCCCCUGGUAGUCCACGCCGUAAACGAUGGGCGCUCGUCGUCGGCGGCAGACAGUCGGCGGCCAAGCGAAAGCGAUAAGCGCCCCACCUGGGGAGUACGGUCGCAAGGCUGAAACUCAAAUGAAUUGGCGGGG